GCAAGGUACUUGAUCUCUGAACUUCAGGUUAUUCAUCUAUAAAAUGGAUUUAGCAAUACCUAUGCU
rnacentral:snoRNA from 1 species